rnacentral:rRNA from 1 species
GACGUAGGGGGCCAGCGUUGUUCGGAAUUACUGGGUGUAAAGGGUUCGUAGGCGGUGUAGCAAGUCGGGAGUGAAAUCUCUGGGCUUAACCCAGAGGCUGCUUCCGAAACUGCUGUGCUUGAGUGUGGGAGAGGCGCGUGGAAUUGCAGGUGUAGCGGUGAAAUGCGUAGAUAUCUGCAGGAACACCCGUGGCGAAGGCGGAUCUCUGGGCCUGUCCUGACGCUCAGGCGCGAAAGCUAGGGGAGCAAACAGG